AUGAAGCUCCUAUGUUGGAACAUUAGGGGCUUCGGCCUCACUGGUCGACGUUGGCAGCUCAUCGAGUAUUUGCCGCAAGAAGAGAUUGACAUUGUGGGACUUCAGGAGAUGAUUCGCCAGGACUUUAGCAUGCAUGAGCUCCAGGGGCUCUCACGCCAC
rnacentral:rRNA from 1 species